rfam:Triticum aestivum genome assembly, contig: Triticum_aestivum_CS42_TGACv1_scaffold_437433_5DL
UUAAUACUCCCUCCGUCCGGAAAUACUUGUCCUAAAAAUGGAUAAAAUGAAUGUAUCUAUAACUAAAAUAAGUCUAGAUACAACCAUUUCGAGGACAAGUACUUCCGGACAGAGGGAGUACAUA